CUCCGGCCGUGACGAACCAAUCGCUGCUAGCUCGCUCUACCGUUAGGCUGAGUAAUGCGGAGGCUCUGGGUUAGCGCUAACACGGUCACGUAUUCGCUCCUUGCAAUACGCAAUUAGUGCUUUCCAAGGAUAACCGAUUCCCAAGUGACUCCAUAACAACGUCAGAGGCUCUGCACAUGGAGAGAUGGCUGUCAAAAGAGAAAACAUGGAAAACCCAGAUUCCCAUGAAGAAACAAGAGGAUAAUGAGUGUGCUUUCAUCAAGCUGGACAGGUAGAAUGGAAAACCUACAGCAUUCAACAGCAGGCGUGACGUGAGCUUUAUAAUGCAAGAACAACAUGGAAAAUGUUAAGAAGUCACUAUGCAUAGUUACAUUGAAACUGACCUUAGAGAGGCCGUGGCAUGAAGCAGCCU